UAUUCUUACCAUCUGUUUAUAUCAUUAUUUGUACCACUUCUCUAAUAGAGAUGAAACCUACGUAUGUUUGUGUGUUAUACUUCCGUUAGAGAAAUUGUAUAAAUGAUGGUACAAAUAAAUAGUAAGUGUAGCACUGCUCAUAAAAAAAAGUUUUAUGAAAACCUAUAACCCAUAAUUGUAAAACAAGUAUAUAGUUUCUCAAAGUAAUAAGAUAAUUAAUAAUAGGUAGUUGGGAACCAGCAUCACAAAUGAGUUAAAGAAUAUAGGGAGUUACUACGAAAUAUCUCAAAUUACUAUCACAGAAAAAUUCAUGCUCAUUACCAAAUGAAG
rnacentral:lncRNA from 1 species